AAGAGAAUGAGUUCUUUUUGAACUUGUACAAAUAACUGUAUUGCCAUAAAAAUAAGAACAUUCAUGAGUAGUUUCUGAAUUCUGGAGGGAUCAUGUCGAGAGAAAAAGUAAAUAUUUCAAUUUUAUUCACAAGAGUAUACUUAUACUUUACCAUAUAGCUGUGAUCUAUAGAUAGCUUAAAAGGAAAAAUGUUUCCUGGAAAACCAAAGAACCAGCAAAAUUUCAAAUAAAAAACUCAGAAAAAUCCAUAAUUCUUCUUUUUAUUUUAUUUUAUUUUUUUAUUAUACUUUAAGUUCUAGGGUACAUGUGCACAAUGUACAGUUUUGAUACAUAGGUAUACAUGUGCCAUGUUGGUUUGCUGCACCCAUCAACUCGUCAUUUACAUUACAUUAGGUAUUUCUCCUAGUGCUAUCCCUCCCCCAGCACCCCCCACCCCCGACAGGCCCUGGUGUGUGAUGUUCCCCGUCCUGUGUCCAAGUGAUCUCAUUGUUCAAUUUCCACCUAUGAGUGAGAACAUGCAGUGUUUGGUUUUCUGUCCUUGUGAUAGUUUGCUGAGAAUGAUGGUUUCGAGCUUCAUCCAUGUCCCUGCAAAUGACGUGAAUUCAUCCUUUUUUGUGGCCGCAUAGUAUUCCAUGGUGUAUAUGUGCCACAUUUUCUUAAUCUAGUCUAUCAUUGAUGGACAUUUAGGUUGGUUCCAAGUCUUUGCUAUUGUGAAUAGCUCACGGCAGCUUUGAACUUCUGGGCUCAAGUGAUCCUUCUGCCUCAGACUUCUGAGUAUCAGGACUACAAGUGCAUCACUUUUUUUUUUUGACAAUACUUCUCAUAUAACAUAUCAAACAAGACGGAUUAACAUGCUCUUUUAAAAUUGUAAAUGUUCAGUGUUUUCCGGGGGCUGAACUGGAAAGUCCUGAAGUUAAUUUCAGGUCAAAAAAGACUUAAUUUAGGAUUUAAUUUUGGGAAGUUUGUCCAAAAUGUUAAAAGUUGAAAAACAUUUAUUAUAGUUGUUUAUUUAAUCAGAGUGACACUAUCAGAUUUUUAUGGCAAAUAUAGAAGUUUAUGUUACAGGUAGUUAGGCAGACAGGGCUUUCCCACUCACUAGGAAUUUUGGGUGAUGGUUUGACAAUUAUCACAUUGUCUGUCUAAAAGUGAUAAACUGGCAGCUGGCACCAGGGAGAGGCCAUUUUCUGAUGGUUUACACCUGUUGUGCUAAAGUAUUAAUUGAAUGCAAGUGCCACAGAGAAGCAACUUCCUGGGCAUGCACAUUAAAAGACAAAUGGUGGAUUAUGACCUUUCAAGGGUACGACACCAGAAAAAGGAGGAAACCCUGAGAUGGGCAUGCAUAAAACUUCCUAAGCACACUGCAUGUGCUCACUUUCCAAGGCUAAAUAGGGCACUGUGCAUGAGGGCAGCCCCCGCUAAGGGAAGACUCAUGGGAAAGGACAGCCUGUAAAAUCCUAGGAUCACAGAUAAACAGGGCACUUGUCCUUCAAGUUGCCCUCUUGGGUCUCUUCCAAGCGUACUUUCCUUUCUUUCCUGUUCUAAAGCUUUUUAAAACAAAACAUCCACACCUUGCUCUCUUUUUUUGCCUUAUGGCCUUCAGUCGAAUUCUUUCUUCUAAGGAGGCAAGAAUUGAGGUUGCUGCAGACCCAUAUGGAUUUACCACCAGUAACACAGAUACCUUCCACCAGUAAUAGUUACAGAGUUGUGAGCAAAAACCUCAUUCUUUUGAUAUUGAGAAGACUCACUUUUUAAACAAAUAUCAAAGAACUGAUAAAAGACAGCACAAAGCACAAGAAAUUAUCUUGAUAAAACACAAAAUCUUUUUUUCCUAGCCAAUUACCUAAAAGGUAAAGAAAAACCUUUCACUAUUUUCUAUUAAGAGCAGAUCAAUAUUCCAAGAAAACCUUGUUUUAACAUACAGAACCAAAUUCUAGUUUUGCAUCAGUGUACUUUUGAUAUUAAUUCUCAUUUUUUAGAAAAAACUUAGAACUUUUUUCAUAAUCUUAGCCAGUUUGAUUGCACAUAAAAAUUCUUUCACAAGAUUCAUUUUUCACAAAUGUUUUACAACUUUCUUAUCCAUUCAAUUUUUGCCCUAUAUUUUCUUAUUUUUCAUCUCGAAACAACUACUCUACUUUAUGACAAAAAUUACUCUCUUUUGUUGGGUGUGGUGCCUCACUCCUGUAAUCCCAGCACUUUGGGAGGCUGAGAUCACUUGAGGUCAAAAGUUUGAGACCAGCCUGGCCAACAUGGUGAAACUCCAUUUCUACUAAAAAAAACAAAAACAAAAAAAACAAAAAACAAAAUCAGCCAGGCAUGGUGGCACACUCCUGUAGUCUCAGCUACUCAGGAGGCGAGGCAGGAGAAUCACUUGAACCCAGGAGGCGGAGGCUUCAGUGAGCCAAGAUCAUGUCACUGUACUCCAGCUGGGUGAGAGAGUGAAACUCCAUCUCAAAAAAAAAAAAAAAAAAAAAGAAAAGAAAUAUUAAAUCUGCCAACUUUUUCUCCUGGUUACUCUCCCACCAUGAAGUCAAAAAGAAAGCUGGAUAAAGUAUUUAUGAAGGACAAAUCAAGUGAAUUGGCUUCUUUUUCAGAGUUAUCCAUGCUAACUCUAGGCAUAGGGAAUGUAUUCUUGGCCCUGGAGUCAGUUAUCUAGUUAAGAAACAAAGCUAAGUUUAAAGACCACCUAUCAAACUAAACCAGUCUCCAAAAUACACCUUUAUGGGAAUUUAGCUAGCUAUUUUGAAAUUCUUUGUAAGAAAUUUACAACUAUAAAAGAAAUCUCCCUUUGUAGGACUGUGUCCCUCUCUGCACCAGGAAGAGAGAGAGAGCUAGAAAGGAGAGAAUGUCACUAGAAACGCUUACAAUGGAAAAGGCAUUGGCUUAAGUUUAUAUAACAAGUCUCACCUUUGACAAUUUUGUCUUAACAAGGUUUCCUACUUAGAUCUUUGUGCCGGCAAAUAAUGGUGUUUAAGUUCUGUGCCUUUAAGAUGUAAAUUUCCUACCUUGUUUCACCUAAGAGUCAUCCCUUUGGAAGUAAAAAUUUUGGGUUGUUGGGAUAGCGAUUGCUUAGGGCAAUGGAAGAUGUAACUAAAAGACUUACAGUCUGAAAGGGGAAGGUAAACUAUUUGGAAACUGGGAAAAUGAAAAGUUUUAAUGAAGGCUAUAUGAUCUGCUUCUGCCUGUAUUUUUAUAUAUGUCUGUAUGUGUGUGUAUGUUGUAUUUGUGUGAUAUUUUUCCACCUCAGAUGAUAUUGCCAAAAUUUAUAAAGAGUUCUAUUCAGCUUAAAGUAAAAAAAGUGCUAAUAUAAAAUAUUCUCUCACAAAAAUAAAAACUAACUCAAAUGGCUUUUAGUUCUUGUGAGCUGAGAUAACCUUCAGUAAGUAAAGCUAGUUUUUAAAAAUGUUGAUAAAAUAAAAACAGAAAUGUCUUCAAAAUUGUCAGCAUUUACAUUAUAAGUGUGCAUUUUUAAACCUAGAUUUAAUAUCAAAUGAGCUUGUUAUCUCCUAGAUAUAUGAGAUCAUAAAGCUAUAAAUCCUGUCCUUGGCUAGUUUUAAGGAGCAAUUCAAGCAUAGUUAUUAUGAAUGAGUCAUUAGCUUUGCACAGUGGCAGUAGUGUAGCUAGUGAGGUUUAUCCGAGGUGCAGUUAUUGCUAAUUAAAAACUUUUUGUCACCAUUCCAAGAUGGCUGAAUAGGAACAGCUCUGGUCUACAGCUCCCAGCAAGAUCGAUGAAGAAGAUGGGUGAUUUCUGCAUUUCCAACUGAGGUACCUGGUUCAUCUCAUUGGGACUGGUUGGAUAGUGGGUGUAGCCCAUGGAGGGUGAGCCAAAGCAGGGUGGGGCAUCGCCUACCUGGGAAGUGCAAGGGGUCAGGGGAUUACCAUUUCCUAGCCAAGGGAACCCGUGACAGACUGUACCUGGGAAAACGGGACACUCCUGCACAAAUACUGCACUUUUCCUAUGGUCUUAGCAACCAGCAGACCAGGAGAUUCUUUCCUGUGCCUGGCUCAGUGGGUCCCAUGCCCAUGGAGGCUUGCUCACUGCUAGUGCAGCAGUCUGAGAUCAACUUGUGAGGCUGCAGCCUGGCGGAGGGAGGCAUGUCUGCCAUUACUGAGGCUUGAGCAGGUAAACAAAGCGGCCAGGAAGCUUGAACUAGAUGGAGCCCACCGCAGCUCAGCAAGGCCUACUGCCUCUAUAGACUCUACAUCCAUGGGCAGGGCAUACCUGAACAAAAGGCAGCAGAAACUUCUGCAGACUUAAACGCCCCUGUGUGACAGCUCUGAAGAGAGCAGUGGUUCUCCCAGCAUGGUGUUUGAGCUUUGGGAACAGACAGACUGCCUCCUCAAGUGGGUCCCUGACCCCAUUGUAGCCUAACUGGGAAACACUUCCCAGUAGGGGCCGACAGACACCUCAUACAGGUGGGUGCCCCUCUGGGAUGAAGCUUCCAGAGGAAGGAUCAGGCAGCAAUAUUUGCUGUUCUGCAGCCUCCGCUGGUGAUACCCAGGCAAACAAGGUCUGGAGUGGACUACCAGCAAACUCCAACAGACCUGCAGCUGAGGGACCUGACUGUUAGAAGAAAAACUAACAAACAGAAAGGAAUAGUAUCAACAUCAACAAAAAGGACAUCUGCAACAAAACCCCAUGUGUAGAUCACCAACAUCAAAGACCAAAAGUAGAUAAAACCACAAAUAUGGGGAGAAACCAGAGCAGAAAAGCUGAAAAUUCUAAAAACCGAGUGCCUCUUCUCCUCCAAAGGAUCAUAGCUCCUCGCCAGCAGUGGAACAAAGCUGGAUGGGGAAUGAUUUUGAUGAGUUGACAGAAGUAGGCUUCAGAAGGUCGGUAAUAACACACUUCUCCAAACUAAAGGAGCAUGUUCUAACUGUCGCAAGGAAGGUAAAAACCUUGAAAAAAGGUUAGACUAAUGGCUAACUAGAAUAAACAGUGUAGAGAUAACCUUAAAUUACCUGAUGGAGCUGAUAACCAUGGCAUGAGAACUUCGUGACACAUGCACAAGCUUCAAUAGCCAAUUCAAUCAAGUGGAAGAAAGGAUAUCAGUGAUUGCGGGUCAAAUUAAUGAAAAAAGCGAGAAGACAAGUUUAGAGAAAAAAGAGUAAAAAGAAAUGAACAAAGCCCCAAGAAAUAUGGGACUAUGUGAAAAGACCAAACCUAUGUUUGAUUGGUGUACCUGAAAGUGAUGGGAAGAAUGGAACCAAGUUGGAAAACAUUCUGCAGGAUAUUAUCCAGAACUUCCCCAACCUAGCAACGCAGGCCAACAUUCAAAUUCAGGAAACACACAGAAGUCCACAAAGAUAGUCCUCGAAAACAGCAACUCCAAGACACAUAAUUGUCAGAUUCACCAAGGGUGAAAUGAAGGAAAAAAUGUUAAGGUCAGUGAGAGAGAAAGGUCGGGUUACCCACAAAGGGAGGCCCAGCAGCCUAACAGCAGAUCUCUUGGCAGAAACUCUACAAGCCAGAAGAGAGUGGG
rnacentral:lncRNA from 1 species